AAGCAGAGGGAGCCGGCUCUGGCCUCCGCCAGCCCAGAGAGGCUUCCACAGUGCAGCGGCGGGCUGAAGGGCUCCUCAAGCGCGGCCAGAGUGGACGCCGAGGCCGAGGAGGCGCGGAGAGCGAGCGAAAGCUGCUAGCCCAUGCAAGGGACUCCAUGAAGCCUAUGAAAAUAUGUCAUAUAUUUCAUGAGAAACACUAGCUAGUGUAAUCACAACUAUACUCCAGAGAAAUAACCAUUAUGAAGAUUGAAGUUGAUAGAUUAGGCAGGGAAGACUUCGAAUUGCCCAAAAGGUUCCUGCUUGAUUUGUGAAACAGCCCAGGAAUAAGGGACAUUCUCCUGGAUCAUUGUGCUUCGUGAGAGGAUGAGGGCUCAGGAAACCAUUGCACUGCUGUAUCCACUCACAUCAAUGUGAUUGAUUUUCUAGUGACACAGAAGAAUAUGUACUUUACAACUCCAUCCCUCACCUUGGAACUCAAAAUUUACAUGUUGAACAGCACUCACCUGAUACUACCAAGAAGAGAAAAAAGACAACAGCUCAAGGAAGUAGAAGAAAAUUCUUUCUAUAUGUCAGGGACAUCUUUGUUCCAAGGAGAUGCAAAGUACUACUUGAUGGUCAUCUAGAUAAAGGAUGUGAAUGAAAGACGGGGAACAAGAGUAUAGCUUUGGAGAGGACAUAUUACAGUGGUACCCUUGAAGAACUGGAUACCUACUUUUCUUGAGGGAAGCUUUUUCUACGUGGAUCAACUUACAAGAAUGGUUCAAGAGAUGGCCCUUACUAAACAAAGUUAUAUACUAUCCCAAAUAUGUCCCAAUUUACCUAUUUUCUUGCCUUUAGACUUGCACACUGAUUUGCUCCAUAAUGGCCCUAGAGAUGGUUCAACCCAUACUUUUGCAGCAACUGUUGCCAACACUUCAGAAUAAUGAUUUCACAUGUGCAAGGUGACUGAUAAGUAGGGACAGCUAUACCAGCACAUUAACAAGUCUGGAUACACAGAGCCUCUGGCACGCCCCAAAUGCUUACGUGAGUCACCAAGUAACACAUCUUUGACAUACGAACUAUUAUGACCUGUGGACAUGCUUUUACCAAUGGGGAAUGGAAACUGGAAUAGAGCUAGCAGAGAGAUUAUCUUCUUUUCUUACCUUAAUAAAUUUCCCUGAGACAUGGUAGUUGUAUUUAGGUUUCUGAGAAUGUCCUGCCAUCAGCUGUGCUUAGUGAGAACUAAUGCUCCUUCUUGUAUUUGCUUUUUCUAUUUCUCUGUGUCACUUAACCUUUAUCCUUCGCUUUUGCUUCCCUUGGAUACAAAUAUCUGUAAUAUGACAUCAUUAUAUCUUUGG